rnacentral:rRNA from 1 species
UAAGUUGCAGGGUAUAGACCCGAAACCCGGUGAUCUAGCCAUGGGCAGGUUGAAGGUUGGGUAACACUAACUGGAGGACCGAACCGACUAAUGUUGAAAAAUUAGCGGAUGACUUGUGGCUGGGGGUGAAAGGCCAAUCAAACCGGGAGAUAGCUGGUUCUCCCCGAAAGCUAUUUAGGUAGCGCCUCGUGAAUUCAUCUCCGGGGGUAGAGCACUGUUUCGGCAAGGGGGUCAUCCCGACUUACCAACCCGAUGCAAACUGCGAAUACCGGAGAAUGUUAUCACGGGAGACACACGGCGGGUGCUAACGUCCGUCGUGAAGAGGGAAACAACCCAGACCGCCAGCUAAGGUCCCAAAGUCAUGGUUAAGUGGGAAACGAUGUGGGAAGGCCCAGACAGCCAGGAUGUUGGCUUAGAAGCAGCCAUCAUUUAAAGAAAGCGUAAUAGCUCACUGGUCGAGUCGGCCUGCGCGGAAGAUGUAACGGGGCUAAACCAUGCACCGAAGCUGCGGCAGCGACACUGUGUGUUGUUGGGUAGGGGAGCGU